UGUCCAUGCCAUUUUUAAUUAUCUACAAAAAUUAGAAAAAUGAUAUACACAAGUUUACUGGAAAGGAAUAUACUUAAAUCAUAAUAUUUCAGAUAACAAAGGAAUCUUACUGUUCCUUCUUGUUAUCAACAUUUAAUCAACAUAUUCUUAAUGGAAUCUAAUUAGAAGAAUUAGAAGCAUAUUGCAUAAUGAAGCGACUAUACAAGACGAUUUAUUGUAUAUACGAAGAUAAAACUCGUUAAUGUUAUAUAUAUAGCAGAGAUAUUUCUACUAUUACGGAAGGGUUAAUAAAUUUAAUAUCAUUGUUUAAAAGUAUAAUACUAUAUUUAUAACGAACAAAGCAGUGAAAAUUUGUCAUAUUGACUAUACAAAGAAGAUAAAGUUAGUAAAUGCCAAGUAAUGAAGUACACUUUCUCUGCAACAAAGACAAAGAAUGUUACAAUAAAAAAAUAAUGUUAUGCUUUAGGAUGAAAACAGAGAACUCCAACAACAAACUUAACAAAUUAAAGAUCGUUAAUUGUAUAGAGAGAAAAUGAUGUCCGGUGAUAAU